rnacentral:rRNA from 1 species
UACGGAGGAUGCAAGCGUUAUCCGGAAUGAUUGGGCGUAAAGCGUCCGCAGGUGGCUAUGUAAGUCUGCUGUUAAAGAGUCUAGCUCAACUAGAUAAGAGCAGUGGAAACUACAAGGCUAGAGUACGUUCGGGGCAGAGGGAAUUCCUGGUGUAGCGGUGAAAUGCGUAGAGAUCAGGAAGAACACCAGUGGCGAAGGCGCUCUGCUAGGCCGUAACUGACACUGAGGGACGAAAGCUAGGGGAGCGAACGGG